rnacentral:rRNA from 1 species
GAACGGGCGCCCGGGCGUCCCGUGCCGUGUCGGCGGUGGUCCUCCUCAGGCCCGCGUCGCCCCGGCUAACAAACCCCGCCAGCACGGAUCGUGCCAAGGACCUCAACAGAGAGGAUCGUCCUCCCAAGCCCUCGGUCCUCCUCGAUGGGGGGCGGGGGAGGCGCGAUCUCAGCUCAAGUCUUAAAUGACUCUCGGCAACGGAUAUCUCGGCUCUUGCAUCGAUGAAGAACGYAGCGAAAUGCGAUACUUGGUGUGAAUUGCAGAAUCCCGCGAACCAUCAAUUCUUUGAACGCAAGUUGCGCCCGAAGCCAUUCGGCCGAGGGCACGCCUGCCUGGGUGUCGUGAAACCCCUUGCCCCGGGCACCCGCACGUUCAUAUAAUCAUCGGCGGGGACAUUCGCCCGGGCGCGGAUUGUGGUCUCCCGUCGGAUCGGCCUGCUUUGCGUGUCGUCUUGCGGUUGGCCGAAAAUCGAGCACCCGCGCGACGGGCUCCGCGGCGUUCGGUGGAUCGAACGUGAUUGGCUGCGCCGUGGGCCCGGCGUGCUGCGGUAUGAGGACUACGGAAUUUCCUAGUGCGAUCCCAGGUCAGGCGGGGCUACCCGCUGAGUUUAAGCAUAUCAAUAAGCGGAGGAGAAGAAACUAACCAGGAUUCCCUUAGUAGCGGCGAGCGAACCGGGAGGAGCCCAGCGUGGAAAUCGUCCGUCGUCGGCGGACGAAUUGUAGUCUGGAGAAGCGUCCUCAGUGACGGACCGGGCCCAAGUUCACUGGAAGGUGGCGCCGGAGAGGGUGAGAGCCCCGUCGUGCCCGGACCC